rnacentral:rRNA from 1 species
AUUGAACGCUGGCGGCAUGCCUUACACAUGCAAGUCGAACGGCAGCACGGGAGCAAUCCUGGUGGCGAGUGGCGAACGGGUGAGUAAAGUAUCGGAACGUGCCCAGUCGUGGGGGAUAACGUAGCGAAAGUUACGCUAAUACCGCAUACGAUCUAUGGAUGAAAGCGGGGGAUCGCAAGACCUCGCGCGAUUGGAGCGGCCGAUAUCAGAUUAGGUAGUUGGGGGGGUAAAGGCCCACCAAGCCGACGAUCCGUAGCUGGUCUGAGAGGACGACAGGCCAACCUGGGACUGAGACACGACCCAGACUCCUACGGGAGGCAGCAGUGGGGAAUUUUGGACAAUGGGCGAAAGCCUGAUCCAGCCAUGCCGCGUGCAGGAUGAAGGCCUUCGGGUUGUAAACUGCUUUUGUACGGAACGAAAAGGACUGCCCUAAUACGGUGGUCCCAUGACGGUACCGUAAGAAUAAGCACCGGCUAACUACGUGCCAGCCGCCGCCGUAA